ACUCCUACGGGAGGCAGCAGUGGGGAAUAUUGCACAAUGGGGGAAACCCUGAUGCAGCCAUGCCGCGUGUGUGAAGAAGGCCUUGGGUUGUAAAGCACUUUCAGUAGGGAGGAAGGUAGUGUAGUUAACACCUGCAUUAUUUGACGUUACCUACAGAAGAAGCACCGGCUAACUCCGUGCCAGCAGCCGCGGUAAUACGGAGGGUGCGAGCGUUAAUCGGAAUUACUGGGCGUAAAGCGCAUGCAGGCGGCCUGUUAAGUCAGAUGUGAAAGCCCGGGGCUUAACCUCGGAAUUGCAUUUGAAACUGGCAGGCUAGAGUCUUGUAGAGGGGUUAGAAUUUCAGGUGUAGCGGUGAAAUGCGUAGAGAUCUGAAGGAAUACCAGUGGCGAAGGCGGCCCCUGGACAAAGACUGACGCUCAGAUGCGAAAGCGUGGGAGCAAACAGGAUUAGAUACCCCUGGUAGCACA
rnacentral:rRNA from 1 species